rnacentral:rRNA from 1 species
GAUGAACGCUGGCGGCGUGCCUAAUACAUGCAAGUCGAGCGAACAGACGAGGAGCUUGCUCCUCUGACGUUAGCGGCGGACGGGUGAGUAACACGUGGAUAACCUACCUAUAAGACUGGGAUAACUUCGGGAAACCGGAGCUAAUACCGGAUAAUAUAUUGAACCGCAUGGUUCAAUAGUGAAUGACGGUUUUGCUGUUACUUAUAGAUGGAUCCGCGCCGCAUUAGCUAGUUGGUAAGGUAACGGCUUACCAAGGCAACGAUGCGUAGCCGAUCUGAGAGGGUGAUCGGCCACACUGGAACUGAGACACGGUCCAGACUCCUACGGGAGGCAGCAGUAGGGAAUAUUCCGCAAUGGGCGAAAGCCUGACGGAGCAACGCCGCGUGAGUGAUGAAGGUCUUCGGAUCGUAAAACUCUGUUAUUAGGGAAGAACAAAUGUGUAAGUAACUAUGCACGUCUUGACGGUACCUAAUCAGAAAGCCACGGCUAACUACGUG